rnacentral:rRNA from 1 species
UACGGAGGAUCCGAGCGUUAUCCGGAUUUAUUGGGCUUAAAGGGUGCGUAGGCGGCCUAUUAAGUCAGGGGUGAAAUACGGUGGCUCAACCAUCGCAGUGCCUUUGAUACUGAUGGGCUUGAAUCCAUUUGAAGUGGGCGGAAUAAGACAAGUAGCGGUGAAAUGCAUAGAUAUGUCUUAGAACUCCGAUUGCGAAGGCAGCUCACUAAGCUGGUAUUGACGCUGAUGCGCGAAAGCGUGGGGAUCGAACAGG